GACGUAGGGCGCGAGCGUUUGUCCGGAUUUAUUGGGCGUAAAGAGCUCGUAGGCGGCUUGUUACGUCGUUCGUGAAAACUUGGGGCUCAACCCCAAGCUUGCGGUCGAUACGGGCAGGCUAGAGUUCGGUAGGGGAGACUGGAAUUCCUGGUGUAGCGGUGAAAUGCGCAGAUAUCAGGAGGAACACCGGUGGCGAAGGCGGGUCUCUGGGCCGAUACUGACGCUGAGGAGCGAAAGCGUGGGGAGCGAACAGG
rnacentral:rRNA from 1 species